rnacentral:rRNA from 1 species
UACGGAGGAUGCGAGCGUUAUCCGGAUUUAUUGGGUUUAAAGGGUGCGCAGGCGGUCUGUUAAGUCAGCGGUCAAAGCCCGGGGCUCAACCCCGGCCCGCCGUUGAAACUGGCAGUCUCGAGUUGGAGAGAAGUAUGCGGAAUGCGCGGUGUAGCGGUGAAAUGCUUAGAUAUCACGAAGAACCCCGAUUGCGAAGGCAGCCUGCCGCAGCGUUACUGACGCUGAAGCUCGAAAGCGCGGGUAUCGAACAGG